rnacentral:rRNA from 1 species
UACAGAGGGGGCAAGCGUUGUUCGGAAUUACUGGGCGUAAAGGGCGCGUAGGCGGCUCGGCACGUCCGUUGUGAAAUCGCCCGGCUCAACUGGGCGGGGUCGGCGGAUACGGCCGAGCUGGAGCAAGCUAGGGGGUAAUGGAAUUCCCGGUGUAGUGGUGGAAUGCGUAGAUAUCGGGAGGAACACCAGUGGCGAAGGCGGUUACCUGGAGCUUUGCUGACGCUGAUGCGCGAAAGCGUGGGGAGCGAUCCGG